rnacentral:ribozyme from 1 species
AUGGCCGGCAUGGUCCCAGCCUCCUCGCUGGCGCCGGCUGGGCAACAUUCCGAGGGGACCGCCCCCUCGGUAAUGGCGAAUGGGACCCA